rnacentral:rRNA from 1 species
UACGAAGGGGGCUAGCGUUGUUCGGAUUUACUGGGCGUAAAGCGCACGUAGGCGGAUCGAUCAGUCAGGGGUGAAAUCCCAGAGCUCAACUCUGGAACUGCCUUUGAUACUGUCGAUCUGGAGUAUGGAAGAGGUGAGUGGAAUUCCGAGUGUAGAGGUGAAAUUCGUAGAUAUUCGGAGGAACACCAGUGGCGAAGGCGGCUCACUGGCCCGGUACUGACGCUGAUGUGCGAAAGCGUGGGGAGCAAACAGG